rnacentral:lncRNA from 1 species
GAAUAAUAAUUGUAAUGUAUAAAUUGUGUAUUGUGAAAAGUGCUAUACAAAUAAAUGUGCAUUGAAUUAAUCAAGUAAAUGAAAGUCUGCUCACUAACCACACUGGCUGAUCUCCUUCUCCUUAACCCCUCCACGUACCCUCCUUAAAUGAUCCCAAUACUCAUCAUAGCUCCGUUCAAAAACACAGCUAGUUUUAGAAUGUCUUGUAGAGCAUCCAAAGUUUCUUAGUUAUUCAUAGUGAUGGUGCUUUUCUUACUAGUACUGCUAUAGUAAACUAGGAGGACUAAAGUCUGACUUUUUUGAAUGCACUGUUGUUUGCAGGGGGAGAGGGGCAAGAAAGGCAACAGGGGGGCCAAAGGGGAUAAGGGAGACCAAGGAGCCCCGGGAUUAGAUGCCCCGUGUCCGUUGGGUGAUGAUGGUUUGCCAGUACCAGGGUGUUGGAAUAAAUGACGUUAAUUCCUGAAUGCCAUGUGUGAUUGUAAAUAGAAUAUUUAUUUUUGUACUUUUUUUUUUUUUUGCCAUUGAUCUAUUAUAUUGAUGGAAAAUACAGCAAACCAUAAAAAUACUGGCAGGACUUUUGUACAGAUGUUUAUUUUUAUUACUGGUAAUGUUUUUUAUGUAAUGGACUUAAUACAGUUUUUUGAUUGAGGAAGAAAUAUACUGUGGCAACAUAUGCAUGAUAUUUGUGCAUUAUGUUAACUGUUAAGUGCCUAUUAACUUAUUGUAUCAUAGUGUUUUAAUGUGUUGUGUCGGACCACGCUGCACUGAUUAGUGGGGCUGGAGUUACAAAUUGGCCUUGUGUGUAAGAGGAAAGUCUUUGCUCUGAGAUUAACAUGUUCACACCACACCUGCUUACACUGUAACUGCAUAUGUUUACUGAACAUUAAAAUGACUUAUUUCAAAGUCCAUACUACAUGCAGUAGACAGUAGUCAGUUGUUUCAUAUGAGUUUCAGUGCAUAAAUUAUGAACAUCUGCACUGCGUGGCUUGUUUAGUGAGCAUUUCAUACUGUUUUCUCCAUAUUCACCUGCCAUUUUUUGCCAAAUAUAUUAUUGCAAAAACUGAAUUAGUGAAUGGCUCUAUGAAAAGAAAAGAAUGACUGAAAUCCACACACAGUGCUUUGCCUUGAUAGGCUUUCAUGUAAAUACGUCUAAAUCUGGCCCUUUGAGCAGCUAUAUUUUUUCUAUUCUUAUUUCUGGCAAUUUAAUAGUAUAGUAGAUUAAUGUAAUUUACAUACUUGGGCAAUGAAUUUAGUCUUCAUUUAUCUCAUUUAUAUUGCUGCUCACUGUCGAGCACAUCUUUGUGUUUGUUAAUAAGCAUCAACAACCAUUCAAAAGUUUGGGGUCAGCAUUUUUUUUUUUUUUUUUUUUGAAAGAUUAUAGUACUUUUAUUCAGCAAGAUGCAUUAAAUUGAUCAAAAGUGUCACUAAAGACUUUUACAUAGUUGAAAAAAUAUUCUAUUUUAAAUGUUGUUCUUUUAAACUUUCUAUUCAUCAAAGAAUGAAACAAAUGCAUGUUUCCACAAAAAUAUUAAGCAGCACAACUGUGUGACACUGAAGAUCGGAGUAAUGAGGCGGAAAAUUCAGCUUUGAAAUCACAGAAAUACGUUUAAAAAAAAAUUAAAUACAUAGUUAUUUUAAAUUGUAAAAAUAUUUCACAAUAUUACCAAGUUUACUGUAUUUUGAUUUAAUAAAUGCAGCCUUGGUGAACAUAAGAAACUUGUUUCAAAAAUCGUACUGACUCCAAAUGUUUGAAUGGUAGUGUAUGUCCCAUUUUACCUCAAGUAAAAAUGAAGAAUAAAACCAACUAAGUUAGUAUUACAAACAUGCCAUAUACAUCAUAAUAUGUUUAUUAUAAGGCCCACAGCUAAAAUGGUUUUGUUGUAUUUGUUUUGUGUUCAUUCAGUGUUGAAGUGGAUUGUGUAGGAUUGCUGCUGCUUACAUUGACAAGCUAUUCGGGUUCCAUUUUGCCACUUAAUAUCAAGUUAAGCAUGGUUUGUAAUAAUCAGUGUCUAUAAACUCUUUAUCUGUCUGUAAUACCUCAUACUAACAUGUGCCUUAAUGCUUUUACUCUGCCAAAGUAGUUUUGAGACAUAUCAACAAUGUCAAAGAAGCUAUGCUGUCAACAUGAGGAAUAUAAGAUAAUAAAUGGCUGUAAAAAGCCAAAACAGU